rfam:Picea glauca, whole genome shotgun sequence.
GUGUUCAUAGAAGGGAGAUAUGGUUGGCAUCUUCCUUGACAAGGACAGGAACAAUGUUUAGACUUUCUUAUCACAUGUGGUUAAGGCUCUCCACCCCUUCCAGGGUGGAUCUUACCUCAAGUUCUU